rnacentral:rRNA from 1 species
CCUACGGGUGGCAGCAGUGAGGAAUAUUGGUCAAUGGCCGAGAGGGUGAACCAGCCAAGUCGCGUGAGGGAAGAAUGUCCUAUGGAUUGUAAACCUCUUUUGUCAGGGAGAAAAGUCACCCACGUGUGGGUGGUGGAGAGUACCGGAAGAAAAAGCAUCGGCUAACUCCGUGCCAGCAGCCGCGGUAAUACGGAGGGGGCAAGCGUUAUCCGGAUUUAAUGGGUGUAAAGGGAGCGUAGGCGGCGAUGCAAGUCAGAAGUGAAAGCCCGGGGCUCAACUCCGGUACUGCUUUUGAAACUGUGUUGCUCGAUUGCCGUAGCGGUAAGUGUACUUCCUAUUGUAGCUGU